rnacentral:lncRNA from 1 species
UCGUAUGACAAAUUUAUUUCCAAAAUAAUAAAGUUUAUGAAUUUCGUAUCAUCAUCGUUGUUUCCUUAAGAGAGUAUUGAUGGCCAUGAAAAUAAAACCAAUAAACACCAUCUGCAGACGAACUGUGAUUUCCAUGGAAAUAGUUCCCGUUUAAGUUUGAAUUAUGACAGCAAAUGUACCACCAUGCGCCAUGAUGAUUUACGGCACAGUUAGAAUGCGAAUGGUCACUGCAAAUAUGGUUGUUGACAUCAAAGGUUGAAAAAGGAGUAUUAGAGUGUAUCGUUCUUCCUG